GGUAUAAUACUUUAAUAAAAAGGAUUGAUUUGCAUUCAGUUAUUGGGUCUUUGCCCUUAUACUU
rnacentral:tRNA from 1 species